AACGAACGCUGGCGGCAUGCCUAGCACAUGCAAGUCGAACGAUUGCCUUCGGGUGAUAGUGGCGCACGGGUGCGUAACGCGUGGGAAUCUGCCCUUAGGUUCGGAAUAACAGCUGGAAACGGCUGCUAAUACCGGAUGAUAUCGCGAGAUCAAAGAUUUAUCGCCUGAGGAUGAGCCCGCGUUGGAUUAGGUAGUUGGUGGGGUAAAGGCCUACCAAGCCGACGAUCCAUAGCUGGUCUGAGAGGAUGAUCAGCCACACUGGGACUGAGACACGGUCCAGACUCCUACGGGAGGCAGCAGUGGGGAAUAUUGGACAAUGGGCGCAAGCCUGAUCCAGCAAUGCCGCGUGAGUGAUGAAGGCCCUAGGGUUGUAAAGCUCUUUUACCCGGGAAGAUAAUGACUGUACCGGGAGAAUAAGCCCCGGCUAACUCCGUG
rnacentral:rRNA from 1 species